GAUGAAGAACGUAGCGAAAUGCGAUAAGUAAUGUGAAUUGCAGAAUUUAGUGAAUCAUCGAAUGUUUGAACGCACAUUGCGCCCCUUGGUAUUCCGAGGGGCAUGCCUGUUCGAGCGUCAUUAUAACCCCUCAAGCUCAGCUUGGUGUUGGGGCCUGCUGCACUGGCAGCCCUUAAAAUCAGUGGCGGCGCCAUCUGGCUCUAAGCGUAGUAAUUCUUCUCGCUAUGGAGUCCUGGUGGAUGCUUGCCAUCAACCCCCAAUUUUUCUAUGGUUGACCUCGGAUCAGGUAGGGAUACCCGCUGAACUUAAGCAUAUCAAUAAGCGGAGGA
rnacentral:misc_RNA from 1 species